GUAGGUGAACCUGCGGAAGGAUCAUUAUUGAAAUAAACCUGAUGAGUUGCUGCUGGUUCUCUAGGGAGCAUGUGCACACUUGUCAUCUUUAUAUCUCCACCUGUGCACCUUUUGUAGACCUGGAUAUCUCUCUGAAUGCUAGCCAUUCAGGUUUGAGGAUUGACUUCAUGCCUCUCCUUGUAUUUCCAGGCCUAUGUUUCUUUAUAUACCCAAUGUAUGUCAUAGAAUGUAAUCAAUGGGCCUUUGUGCCUAUAAACCUAUACAACUUUCAGCAACGGAUCUCUUGGCUCUC
rnacentral:misc_RNA from 1 species